rnacentral:lncRNA from 1 species
GGGUCUUCAGUCUUGCAGAUCGGCCGGUUGUGUGACUAUGCUCUUAGCCCUGUGACUAUUUCGCUUGCUCUGUUGUCCACUCUGUUAAGCUUGUUGCUUCUGUGGUGUUGUAAUCUGGAACAGUCGCAGGACCUUCGUCUUCAUGUAAUCCUUGUAACUAUAACUGUUUUUUUCUUUUUUCUUAAUAAAGAUCGGCCACUGGCCCUUCGAGACAGCCAUGGUUCAGAGCUUUGGUUCGGUGGGGUGUUGAUGUCGAUGGCUAUGUGUGUCAUGUGGUCUACCCCCCUCAUGAUCUCUGGUGAUUUUUCCUAGAACAACCAUGGCACCGAGCUUGGUGCUUUGUGUGGGGAAUUCCUGCGGCGGUAAGAACCAGAGAAGGAUAAGAUCGUAGUCUCCUCCCUUUUCUAUUUUCUUUUCUUUUCUACUCUGUUGGUUCACUCAUGGUAUUUUCACAGAUCGACCAGACCACAACGUGUCCUAGCUAUGCUACGUGGCUCUCCCCGUCAUGGUUUGACUUGCUGUGCCAACCCUGCUAGUUUGUGUUUCCAAAUUAUCUAGUCGAGUGGCUAAUUUGAGCUUUGGUUCAAGUUCAAUGCACCAAUUUAACUUUUUACGGCUGAUAGGUAUAGUAAAACGAGUACGGUUUAUUUCUUAUGGUUACAGUCUAAUUAAUUUAGUUCCAAAUACGUAUGCAUAUACGCCAAAAUUCUUUGGGAUAUAGGAUGCACAAUCAAGUUUUAACUAGGUAGCAACACGGCACAACACACACAAUCAACUCAUCGAUACAAUAACUAAUUUAUCUCUUGUCGAUUCAACUAAUUACUCUAAUGCGAGUCUUAAGGAUUACUAUUAUUAUAUCGGGUUCAGAAAUUCUAGAGAACAUGAAUCACAAACAUGAGUAAGCGAAAUGCACAAGAAACCAAUAGUCCACACACAUAUAUGGUUAUCACCAUGACCGAGGUUCAACCGACACUGCCCCCUAGCCGGUGUGAUCAAACUAGCAGUAUGAUUAAACCAUAAUAAGGAUAUACUUUUCUAUAAACGAAACUUUCUGGCUCAUCUUUUCGCUAACAAGAUAUAUCUCGAGUACUUAACUCGAUAAUUUAACUUUGUAAAAAUCCAAGAUUUUACACGUUCCAAGAGGAGGGCCCGUCCUCAGGCCACCGCCAUGCAACUCCGCAAUGC